UACGUAGGGUGCGAGCGUUAAUCGGAAUUACUGGGCGUAAAGCGUGCGCAGGCGGUUUUGCAAGCCGGAUGUGAAAUCCCCGGGCUCAACCUGGGAAUGGCAUUCGGGACUGCAAGGCUGGAGUGCGGCAGAGGGAAGCGGAAUUUCCGGUGUAGCGGUGAAAUGCGUAGAUAUCGGAAGGAACACCAGUGGCGAAAGCGGCUUCCUGGUCCGACACCGACGUUCAGGCACGAAAGCGUGGGGAGCAAACAGG
rnacentral:rRNA from 1 species